rnacentral:lncRNA from 10 species
GAAGAGUUCAAGAUCAGCCUGUGCAACAUAGUGAGACCCUGUCUCCAUAAAAAAUAAAAAAUUAGCUGGGCAUGACGGUGUGUGCAAGCAGUCCUAGAUACUCACGAGGUUGAGGUGGGAGGAUCACUUGAGCCUGGGAGAUUGAGACUGCAGUAAGCUGAUAGCACCACUGCACUCCAGCCUGGGUGACAAGAGUGACUCUGUCUUAAAAGAAAAAGAAAAAGGACUACAUUUCUCAACCUUCCUGGGUUAGGGGUGGCCAUGGUCUGGCCAGUGGGGUGUGAGCAGAAGUCCAGUAGGCAGCCUCCCAUCAUGCCCUUGGAAGAGGGUUCUGUUGACUUUUUCUUAAGGGUCAGAUAGUAAAUAUUUCAGCUUUCGUGGGCCAUAUUGCCGUGUUACGACUACUCAACUCUGCACUUGUAGUUGAAAGCAGCCAUAGACAAACAGAGUGGCUGUGUUCCGAUAAAGCCUGUUUACAAAAACAGGAGGCCAACCUGCAGGCUGUGGUUGCUGACCCCUGCCUUAGAUAAAUGGGGGCAUCCCACACGUUCUUGGUAUAUUUCACAUUUUUGCUCCAUGCUAGUUGGAAUGCAGAUGGGAAGGUGAGCAAGCUUGGACCAUGAAGACAAAGGCAACACCCGAGAGAUGGAGCAGCUUCAAGUUGAAGGGAGCCUGAGGCCGUGGCUCGCCUCUGUAGUCCCAGCACUUUGGAAGGCCAAGGUGGGACUCAUUUCUCAUCUACAAGUAAGAAGGCAGUAACCCACAGAUCAAGACUGCCAACCAGAUGGACACACGAAAUGCUGCUACACACUCUCCUACACGUCAGUAAAUUCCUUGCAUCCAAUGACUCCAUGUGCUUCAGUGACGGACCAUGAGUGAGCCUGACCAGGCUGGAGAUGCCACCACGCAGGUUACUUCCUCCACUCAGCCCCAACUGACAAAGGACACAUUUUUAUCCCAGCAAAACUUCUGUUUUUCUUUUUCCAAGAAAACAGAAAAGUCGCCGGGCACGGUGGCUUACGCCUGUAAUCCCAGCACUUUGGGAGGCCGAGGCAGGAGAAUCGCUUGAGCCCGGGAGUUUGAGACCAGCCUGGGCAACAUGGUGAAACCAAGUCUCUACAAAAAAAUACAAAAAAAUUAGCCAGGUGUCGUGGUGCACGUCUGUAGUCCCAGCCACUCCUGGGAGGUCGAGGCUGCAGUGAGCUGUGAUCGUGCCACUGCACUCCAGCCUGGAGAACAGAGUGAGACCCCG